CACUGUUCCCAUAUGUAGGAUCAUCAGCAUCUGAAGCUGUUACCUGAAUAACAGAUGUACCUAAAAAUGGAAGGGAAAGACAGAAGAAAUGCAAACAGAAGCAAAUGUAUCUGUAAGAACCGUGCAGAGGUAAAGAAGUAGUUGCUGAAGAAGGAGCUAAUACACCAGAAAAGCAAUGGGAAGAAAGAAAAGCAACUCACAAAAUAAAGGUAUUAGUAAUAAUUAAUAAUUGAUGAAUGAAGAACAACUUCUUACCCUUCCCACUAGUACAGGAUCUGGUCCUGUGUACUCUUCUAUAACAAAGAACUGAUUCCACACCCAGCCUCUUUUUGAACGAUGCAAAACUUGUCCUUCUUUUCCUUUUUCAUGGUGACCGUGAAGCGAUG